CAUUUCCAAACUGGAUAUCUAGAGUGCAGGAGAGGAAAGCGGAAUUCCUAGUGUAGCGGUGAAAUGCGUAGAGAUUAGGAAGAACACCAGUGGCGAAGGCGGCUUUCUGGACUGUAACUGACGCUGAGGCACGAAAGCGUGGGUAGCAAACAGGAUUAGAUACCCUGGUAGUCCACGCCGUAAACGAUGGAUACUAGGUGUAGGGGGUAUCAACUCCCUCUGUGCCGCAGUUAACACAAUAAGUAUCCCGCCUGGGGAGUACGGUCGCAAGAUUAAAACUCAAAGGAAUUGACGGGGGCCCGCACAAGCAGCGGAGCAUGUGGUUUAAUUCGAAGCAACGCGAAGAACCUUACCUGGACUUGACAUCCCUUGCAUAGCCUAGAGAUAGGUGAAGCCCUUCGGGGCAAGGAGACAGGUGGUGCAUGGUUGUCGUCAGCUCGCGUCGUGAGAUGUUAGGUUAAGUCCUGCAACGAGCGCAACCCUUGUUAUUAGUUGCUACCAUUAAGUUGAGCACUCUAAUGAGACUGCCUGGGUAACCAGGAGGAAGGUGGGGAUGACGUCAAAUCAUCAUGCCCCUUAUGUCCAGGGCUACACACGUGCUACAAUGGUAGGUACAAUAAGAGGCAAGACCGUGAGGUGGAGCAAAACUUAUAAAGCCUAUCUCAGUUCGGAUUGUAGGCUGCAACUCGCCUACAUGAAGCUGGAGUUGCUAGUAAUCGCGAAUCAGAAUGUCGCGGUGAAUACGUUCCCGGGCCUUGUACACACCGCCCGUCACACCAUGAGAGCUGGUAACACCCGAAGUCCGUGAGGCAACCGUAAGGAGCCAGCGGCCGAAGGUGGGAUUAGUGAUUGGGGUGAAGUCGUAACAAGGUAGCCGUAGGAGAACCUGCGGCUGGAUCACCUCCUU
rnacentral:rRNA from 1 species